rnacentral:rRNA from 1 species
UACAGAGGUCUCAAGCGUUGUUCGGAUUCAUUGGGCGUAAAGGGUGCGUAGGCGGCGGUCUAAGUCGGGUGUGAAAGCCCGGGGCUCAACCCCGGGACGCCGCCCGAGACUGGAUCGCUUGAGGCCGGAAGAGGGGAGUGGAAUUCCUGGUGUAGCGGUGAAAUGCGUAGAGAUCAGGAGGAACGCCCGUGGCGAAGGCGGCUCCCUGGUCCGGUUCUGACGCUGAGACGCGAAAGCGCGGGGAGCGAACGGG